CGGGCAUUAGCUCAGCGAAUAGAGCCUUCGCCUGAUAUGCGAAAAGACCGAGUUCGGCUCCCGGUUGCUCCA
rnacentral:tRNA from 1 species